GGCAAGCUCUACAUCUGCAAGGCACAGGCCGGGGACAAGAGAUGGUUCAAGGGAGCCAAGAAGUUUGUGGAGAGCACUACCAACUCCUUCAAUGUUGCAUGAAUGAGAUAUUAACCUCUCAUUGUAAAUCAAUUGAGUGAGUGAUCUAUUUACUUCUGCCAUCCUUGUGAUUUUUGUGAUCUAUGAGGUAAGAGGAUGGGGGUUCAAAGUGAAUGUUAUAAAACCUAUU
rnacentral:misc_RNA from 1 species